GGUAAGAUGGCCGAGUGGUUAAGGCGGUGGAUUUAAGUGUUAACACUAAAUUAAAUUCCCCACUGACGAGAGUCACCUGGGUUCGAACCCCAGUCUUACCA
rfam:TPA: Aspergillus nidulans FGSC A4 chromosome II